UAGAGAAGGUAGGCUGUGUUUCUGUGUGCGGUAGAGAAGGUAGGCUGUGUUUCUGUGUGCGGUAGAGAAGGUAGGCUGUGUUUCUGUGUGCGGUAGAGAAGGUAGGCUGUGUUUCUGUGUGCGGUAGAGAAGGUAGGCUGUGUUUCUGUGUGCGGUAGAAAGGUAGGCUGUGUUUCUGUGUGCGGUAGAGAAGGUGAGGCUGUGUUUCUGUGUGUGGUAGAGAAGGUAGGCUGUGUUUCUGUGUGUGGUAGAGAAGGUAGGCUGUGUUUCUGUGUGUGGUAGAGAAGGUAGGCUGUGUUUCUGUGUGUGGUAGAGAAGGUAGG